rnacentral:lncRNA from 1 species
CACAAAGAGUUUUAAAAGAACACCAGAAUUCAAACAACAAGAACAAAGUUGCAACAAAAAAAUAGUCCGCUAAAAACACCUUAAACAACUACUACACUAGCUAAAAAACAACUAACUUACCUCCUAACCCAAACCAAGCCUACACAAAGCUAAAAAGACAAACUAAAAAUGCACAAACUAAGCACCAAAAAUCAUCUAGAAAAACUGCAAAAACCAAAGCACAACCGAGUAGACAGUUGCUCCAAACCACCACAACAACAAAUAAAUCAUCGAAAAUUUCACACUU